rnacentral:lncRNA from 1 species
AGACUUUGCCCUCACAGGCAAGACAGCCACACCUUGAACUCUGACUCAAGGAAGAGAGUGGGCAGCUCACCAGAGAGGCCAGAGGAGGCGGCAGGAAGGUGGGGUCUCUCCAGCCAGGGGCUUCCUGAAAGAGCUGCCUUCUGAGCAGGCCCCCCAGGCUAGGAAGAUGUGCACCUGCCGAGCUGGGCAGGAGAGGGUGGCCCAGUGGAGGACCCAGCAUGGGCAGAGGUUUGGAGGUGGCAGGUCCUGAGGGAAGCGGAAGAGUCUCGCUCUGUCACCCAGGCUAGAGUGCAGUGGCACAAUCUCGGCUCGCUGCAGCCUCCAACUCCUGGGUUCAAGUGAUUCUCCUGCCUCGACUCCUGGGUUUAAGCCAUUCUCCUGCCUCAACCUGCUGAGUAGCUGGAAUUACAGGCAGCCAGGUUGUGACAGCCUGUGAGGACCUCUUGGCUCCCGGAGCCUUCUCUCUCCUGGAAUAGAGAUGACACCGUGCUGCCAUUGAACUCAACCCGAAAAAAUGAUCUGUUGCAAAGCUCACAGGAAAUAAUGGAGCAAUGUUACACGAUAAACUGUAAAGUGUGGUGAGCAUGUGAACAAGCGUCCAGGACCCAGCGAAGCCCCAGGCUACUGGGCUAGGCGUCAGAUGAGAAGAGGCAGAGGGCAACCUCCUGUAGGAUCUGAGGCCUUCAUGUGCUCAGCCCAUGGCUGUCGUCACGGUGACGUGUGCAUGCGAUGUAUCUGGGCCAUCCUUGUUCUUGAACGCGGGCAGUGAGUCCCACGGUGAUGUGGCAUGUCACGAGCUGAAGGAGGGGCACCUGCAUUCAGGCUUGCGAACCAGCGAGACAGCCUUUGGACCUUUCGGAGCCUCACUUUCCCACACUAAGAAUUGGAGUGGAAUUCCCAAGGUGCUGGAGGUUGAAAGGCAUUGAGAAUCUAAAACGCUUUGCAGACAGCAAGACCCUCUGUGUAAGUUAAGAAUGCUCACUCAGUCCCAGCAGGUACUCAGAGGGAUCCUUUUAUUUCUCCAGAACAUUCUGCAGGUGAGCUGGGGAAGCCCACUGGCCCUGGCCUCACCCCCGAGCCCGAGCCUUCAGCCUGGGAAUGGUCUGGCCUCUUCCUUGCUGGCUCUCCAGCCUGGCCUCGCAGGACCCUGGGCGGGACCCCAGGAACCCUCACCCGCUAUGUGCUUCCCCAAGAAGCGCUCCCUGUGGCCUAAUUUGAGAAAACAAUGGGCCUCAAUCCAUAUUAAUGACCCUAGAGGGACCCUUUGUCCUCGGUGCACAGGCUGUAAUCAGCGGGGCUCCGGGGGCUCUGGCCUAAUUUGGAGGGACAGGUUUUAUCAUCACCCUUGAUUCGGGUGACCCAAUCUGACAGGCCCACGACCCCCUGUAUGCGGGGUCCACGUCAGAGAUGGGCUUCCUCCCAGCGGCCCACCCCAGCGGGCUGGGGAGAGGGAAGGGGGAGGUGGUGGCCAUGGGGGAAGUUCGGGGUGAAGAAGGGGUCACAGCCAGACCCCCACUUGGAUGGGCCUGUGAUCGGGUUCUCGGGAGGAGCAGGAUAUUGAUUAGAUCAGUGAAUGGUGUGGAGGCAGCUCUCCCCAGGCACGUGCUCCCGACCACCCACCAGCAAGCGUCUGUUGCCUGCCGGUGCCAGGGCUGGGUGGGGACUCUGGGACAGGCCGGCUGCCUAGGAGGGGCCAGGCAGGAGCCAAGGGGCUGGCUCCAGGGACUGCCAGGAGGGCCCCAGGGAAGGGGAGCCGGGAAGCGUUUUGGCUGCCUCCGGCGUGAAGUCGUGGAAACGUGUUUGCAGGUUAGGGCCGUGGCAUCCUCGUUGCACCAUUUGAGCGCCUAUGGGGUGCCAGAUACAUGACAAAGGGCCACCUCAUUUAAUGCUUCCCUCAACCUUCCCAGGCCCCGAUCCCCAUGUUCUGGGUCAGGAGGCCCAUUCGAGGUCAAGGGGUGGGCGAAGGCUGACGAGACAAACCCAGGGACUAGCUCCUGAGUCCCAAAACCUGUCCUCACCCACCCAGGGGUCCCCUGCACGCUCUCCAGGGUGUGCGGUGCGUGGCUGCUGGGUUUGGGUGCAUUAGAGCCUGAGGCAAGGGCUUGAGUCUGAAUUCUCGCUACGGACCAAAUGUGUGCGUCCUCCCUAAAUACAUAUGUUGAAGCCUUAACUCCCAAUGUGAUGGCAUUAGGAGAGGGGACCUGUGGAAUGUAGUUGAGUCCUGAGGGUGCGGCCCCGUGAUGAAAUUAGUGGCCUGAUAAGAAGAGGCCCAGAGAACCGGCUCUGUCUCUGCUCUCUGUCGCACGAGGACCCCACAAGAAGACGGCCACCUGCAAACAGCCAUUGAAUCUGCCAGUGACUUGGUCGUGGAGUUCCAGCCUCCAGAACUGUGAGAAAUAAAUGUUUGCGAUUUAAACCGCA